ACAAGGUUCUUUAGGUGAAUCUGAUAUCUUUUAUUAGACCAGCUUAAAUAGUUGGAAAAAAAUUUUAAGCAAGCUUGUGGGUUCAAAAACCUUUCGUCAGGCUGCAGAAGUUUCAGCAGUUGGUGUGUGCUCUUCCUGGAUGGAAUGAAAAGUCAUUGGUCAUGGUUGG